rnacentral:rRNA from 1 species
AGAUGUGGGUUAAGUCCCGCAACGAGCGCAACCCUUACCAUUAGUUGCCAUCAUUUAGUUGGGCACUCUAAUGGGACUGCCGGUGACAAACCGGAGGAAGGUGGGGAUGACGUCAAGUCCUCAUGGCCCUUAUGGGUAGGGCUUCACACGUCAUACAAUGGUCGGUACAGAGGGUUGCCAAGCCGCGAGGUGGAGCUAAUCUCAGAAAGCCGAUCGUAGUCCGGAUCGCAGUCUGCAACUCGACUGCGUGAAGUCGGAAUCGCUAGUAAUCGUGGAUCAGAAUGUCACGGUGAAUACGUUCCCGGGUCUU